rnacentral:rRNA from 1 species
UACGUAGGGGGCUAGCGUUGUCCGGAAUCAUUGGGCGUAAAGAGCGUGUAGGCGGCCCGGUAAGUCCGCUGUGAAAGUCGGGGGGCUCAACCUCGGAUGCCGGUGGAUACUGUCGGGCUCGAGUACGGAAGAGGCGAGUGGAAUUCCUGGUGUAGCGGUGAAAUGCGCAGAUAUCAGGAGGAACACCUAUUGCGAAGGCAGCUCGCU